rnacentral:rRNA from 1 species
UACGGAGGGUGCAAGCGUUAAUCGGAAUUACUGGGCGUAAAGCGCACGUAGGCGGCUUUGUAAGUUAGAGGUGAAAGCCCGGAGCUCAACUCCGGAAUUGCCUUUAAGACUGCAUCGCUCGAAUCAUGGAGAGGUGAGUGGAAUUCCGAGUGUAGAGGUGAAAUUCGUAGAUAUUCGGAAGAACACCAGUGGCGAAGGCGACUCACUGGACAUGUAUUGACGCUGAGGUGCGAAAGCGUGGGGAGCAAACAGG